UGGAAAUCCCGCAAGCUGCUGCGCUGUUCCGGCCCAGUCUCUGAGGUCAGGUUCAAAACUCGAUGUCUAAGGUCCUCCAUUCUGAUUUUAAAUUUAUCUCCCAAAUUUCUCUUAUUCCAGAUUAGGGCCUUGGUGACAGCCUCCUGCACACGAUCAGUGGGCUGGCCCUGGCGGUAUUCAUCAUCCAAAUAUUCCAGACUGUUUUGCUCGCGGAGACCGCUUGCCGAACUCUUCCCGACUGGGCAACGAUUUUCCAGUUUCGCUAUCUCUGUAGCUUCUUCAGGGAAAGAGAUCUAAUUCUCAUCGGUUAGGGUUUUUAAGGGGGCCUUGGUGACAGCCUCCUGCACACGAUCAGUGGGCUGGCCCUGGCGGUAUUCAUCAUCCAAAUAUUCCAGACUGUUUUGCUCGCGGAGACCGCUUGCCGAACUCUUCCCGACUGGGCAACGAUUUUCCAGUUUCGCUAUCUCUGUAGCUUCUUCAGGGAAAGAGAUCUAAUUCUCAUCGGUUAGGGUUUUUAAGGGGUAGGUUGAUGUUCCUCCCUUUCUGGGUGGAGCUUCCCAUGUGCUCGGUCCUAGGACCGGUCACUUUGGUUGGGCUCUACCUGUUCUUUGUUUGGACUGGUCGGUCCACUUCCAUUGUUUGUAAUGUUAUCAAAUGUAUCUGGUAUCUUGUAUCAUUUGCUGCUAGUGUUUUCAGCCUCUCUUGAUCAAUAAAUGUCCAAAUUCCUCUUGUCCACUA